rnacentral:rRNA from 1 species
CAUCUAAGCACGAAGCCCCCCUCAAGAUGAGAUUUCCCAUUACGCAAGUAAGUAAGAUCCCUCAAAGACGAUGAGGUAGAUAGGUUCGGGGUGGAAGCGUGGCGACACGUGCAGCUGACGAAUACUAAUCGAUCGAGGACUUAACCA